CUUCCUGGAGGGGGUGGGGCACCGUGAAGUCCGCUGAAACCUAAAAGCCGAGGUGGAGGAAGAAAUGAAGAAAACAAGUUGUCACUACUCUAAUAAGAGGCACAAAUACUUCUUUCAAACCAAUGGGAUUCAGUUCUGUGGUGGUGCUUGGAGAGAAGCACAAUACACUGACGGGAAGUGGGAGAACCUGAAGGUCGUCUGACCUUAUAAAGAAUCAGAACUGGACAGAACAUGGACCAAGCCCACAUCUUUUCUAAAGUCAAAGAGUGAACCUGCUGAUUUUUAAGCAAGAAUUUCAUCACCUUUGUUAUUGAUGUCUCUAUGACUCUGAAUCUAAUCUCCUUCCACCUUAUGUUCUUGAAACUAGUUCUUGUUUAUUUUUUAACGCAUCAUUACAAAUGCAGUCAAGAUUUUACUUUUAAGGCUUCUGAAGAUACAACUUGCCUAGUUAGGAAAAAUUGAUAAUCUGGAUUUCUUUGCUGCCACAAGAACUUUGUCCUCUAUAUCUCUUCAUUCAUCCCUCUGCUAACGGGCUUUGUCAAAGAAGGGAGGGCUUUAGCAGUAUCCCUGUCACAAUUGCAGCUUCCUGAGAACAUUGGGAAAGUGCUCACCUUGGCUUCAGUGUGGCCUGUGCUGAGACAUGGUAGCUGUAGUCAUGUCCCAGGAGAUUAGCACCCCCAGCAAGUCCCUGCUUCUCGAAACAACUGGGUUUCGCUAUGAUGAACAAUAUGCACUGGUAAAAAGAAUCAUAGCCCUUUGAAGAUAACAACACUUUGAAACUUUGAGCAAGUCUGGCACACCUUCACUCACUCCUCCCUUCAUCAAUUUUUACUUAAGAAACGUCAACUGUAUUUGAAGCAUUUUUGUUUAAAAAGUCCGUGUUACUGAUUUAAUGUUUGUGUCCUUUCAACCCACCCAAAUUCAUAUGUUGAAAUUCUAACUCCUAACAUGAUGGUGUUAGGAUCUGGGACCUUUGGGUGGUGAUUAAGUCAUGAGGGUGGAGCCGCACAAAUGGGAUUAGUGUCCUCAUAAGAAGAGACAAGAAAACUUCUGCCUCUGUUCUCUGCCACGUGAGGAUACAAAGAGGAGACAGGCAUCUGUAAAGCAGGAAGAGGACCUUCACCAAGAACCUGACCAUGUUGGAAUCCUGAUCUUGGACUUCCAGCCUUAAGAGUUGUGAGAAAUAAAUGUUGUUUUUUUAAACCUCUCA